GACAGAGGGUGCAAACGUUGUUCGGAAUUACUGGGCGUAAAGCGUGCGCAGGCGGUUAUAUAAGACAGUUGUGAAAUCCCCGGGCUCAACCUGGGAACUGCAUCUGUGACUGUAUAGCUAGAGUACGGUAGAGGGGGAUGGAAUUCCGCGUGUAGCAGCGAAAUGCGUAGAUAUGCGGAGGAACACCGAUGGCGAAGGCAAUCCCCUGGACCUGUACUGACGCUCAUGCACGAAAGCGUGGGGAGCAAACAGG
rnacentral:rRNA from 1 species